ensembl:snRNA U6 U6 spliceosomal RNA
GUCCAAGGACCAGAAAUGAAGGAAUGAUACAGAGAAGAUUAGCAUGGCCCCUGAGCAAGGAUGACACGCAAGCGGGUCCAUAUUUUC